CACGAAGUUAGCCGGGGCUUCUUCUCCGGAUACCGUCAUUAUCUUCUCCGGCGAAAGAGUUUUACAACCCUAAGGCCUUCUUCACUCACGCGGCAUGGCUGGAUCAGGCUUGCGCCCAUUGUCCAAGAUUCCCCACUGCUGCCUCCCGUAGGAGUCUGGGCCGUGUCUCAGUCCCAGUGUGGCUGAUCAUCCUCUCAGACCAGCUAUAGAUCGUAGCCUUGGUGGUCCAUUACACCGCCAACUAGCUAAUCUAACGCGGGCCGAUCCUUCGCCGAUAAAUCUUUCCCAAUACGGCGUAUUCGGUAUUAAACCCAGUUUCCCGGGACUAUUCCGAAGCGAAGGGCACGUUCCCACGCGUUACUCACCCGUCUGCCACUCCCCUUGCGGGCGUUCGACUUGCAUGUGUUAAGCCUGCCGCCAGCGUUCGUUCUGAGCCAGGAUCAAACUCU
rnacentral:rRNA from 1 species